rnacentral:rRNA from 1 species
GGCUCAUUAAAUCAGUUAUCGUUUAUUUGAUAGUACCCACUACUUGGAUAACCGUGGUAAUUCUAGAGCUAAUACAUGCAUAAAAGCCCGACUUACGAAGGGCUGUAUUUAUUAGAUAAAAAACCAAUGCCCUCUGGGCUCUUUGGUGAUUCAUGAUAACUAAACGAAUCGCAUGGCCUUGAGCCGGCGAUGGUUCAUUCAAAUUUCUGCCCUAUCAACUUUCGAUUGGUGAGUAGUGUUCACCAAUGGUGUCGACGGGUAACGAAGAAUUAGGGUUCGAUCUCGGAGAGGACGCCUGAGAGACGGCGUACACAUCCAAGGAAGGCAGCAGGCGCGCAAAUUACCCAAUCCCGAUACGGGGAGGUAGUGACAAUAAAUACUGAUGCAGGGCUCUUUUGGGUCUUGCAAUUGGAAUGAGUACAAUUUAAACCCCUUAACGAGGAACAAUUGGAGGGCAAGUCUGGUGCCAGCAGCCGCGGUAAUUCCAGCUCCAAUAGCGUAUAUUAAAUUUGUUGCAGUUAAAAAGCUCGUAGUUGAAACUUGGGCCUGGCUGGGUGGUCCGCCUCACCGCGUGUACUGGUCCGGCCGGGCCUUUCCUUCUGGGGAAGCCCAUGGUCUUCAUUGACYGUGUGGGGGAACCAGGACUUUUACUUUGAAAAAAUUAGAGUGUUCAAAGCAGGCCUUUGCUCGAAUACAUUAGCAUGGAAUAAUGGAAUAGGACGGCUUUCCUAUUUUGUUGGUUUCUAGGAGAGCCGUAAUGAUUAAUAGGGAUAGUCGGGGGCAUCAGUAUUCAAUUGUCAGAGGUGAAAUUCUUGGAUUUAUUGAAGACUAACUACUGCGAAAGCAUUUGCCAAGGAUGUUUUCAUUAAUCAGUGAACGAAAGUUAGGGGAUCGAAGACGAUCAGAUACCGUCGUAGUCUUAACCAUAAACUAUGCCGACUAGGGAUUGGUGAAUGUUACUWUUAUGACUUCAUCAGCACCUUGUGAGAAAUCAAAGUUUGUUCUGGGGGGAGUAUGGUCGCAAGGCUGAAACUUAAAGAAAUUGACGGAAGGGCACCACCAGGAGUGGAGCCUGCGGCUUAAUUUGACUCAACACGGGGAAACUCACCAGGUUCGGAUAUGAUAAGGAUUGACAGAUUGAGAGCUCUUUCUUGAUUUCAUAGUUGGUGGUGCAUGGCCGUUCUUAGUUGGUGGAGUGAUUUGUCUGCUUAAUUGCGAUAACGAACGAGACCUUAACCUGCUAAAUAGCCCGGCUGGCUUCGGCUGGUCGCUGGCUUCUUAGAGGGACUAUCGGCUCAAGCCGAUGGAAGUUUGAGGCAAUAACAGGUCUGUGAUGCCCUUAGAUAUCCUGGGCUGCACGCGCGCUACACUGACGGAGGCAACGAGUUCACUCCCUUGUCCGAAAGGUCUGGGUAAUCUUGUUAAACUCCGUCGUGCUGGGGAUAGACGAUUGCAAUUAUUCGUCUUCAACGAGGAAUGCCUAGUAAGCGCAUGUCAUCAGCAUGCGUUGAUUACGUCCCUGCCCUUUGUACACACCGCCCGUCGCUACUACCGAUUGAACGGCUCAGCAAGGCCUUCGGACUGGCUCAGGGAGGUCGGCGACGACCACCCAGAGCCGGAAAGUUGGUCAAACUUGGUCGUUUAGAGGAAGUAAAAGUCGUAACAAGGUUUCCGUAGGUGAACCUGCGGAAGGAUCAUUAUCGAGUGUCCGGCUGAGAAAUCAGUCACCUCCCCACCCUUGUAUAUUGAAUGUAGGAAAGCGACUUCGGCGGGCCGUUUCGRGAGAGACAGCAGUGCCUGCCGAAGGAACAACUCUUAAUGAAUUUAUGAAGUCUGAAUUGAUUUUUUAGAAAUAAAUCAAAACUUUCAACAACGGAUCUCUUGGUUCUGGCAUCGAUGAAGAACGCAGCGAAAUGCGAUACGUAAUGUGAAUUGCAGAAUUCAGCGAAUCAUCGAAUCUUUGAACGCACAUUGCGCCUUUGGGUAUUCCUGAAGGCAUGCCUGUUCGAGCGUCGUURAAGACCAUGAGGCUUUGCCUUGCGAUGAGCUUUUCCGGUGAAAAUUGGAAGCUUCAAACGAAUUGGCGUCUGUUUUUUCGUGGCGGCAAGCWCWGRAYRAKRWGRAUUGCMSWWSWAGMGCMKGUGKUGYCRUAUSAYRAKYWAYMUAARGUCSAYCUCGRAKCMWKSMWGA